rfam:Oryza glumipatula chromosome 4, whole genome shotgun sequence.
AACCAUACUAUGAAUGAAUGGAUUUGCCCAUGAUAUGAUGUGGUUGUUCCACUUAGGACAAGGAUGUGACAUCCUAUAAUUACCAGCCAUCGUACGAAAUUAAUAGGAUGCCAUGUCAUCAUCCUAAGCGGAACAACCACGUCAUCUCACAGGUGAAUCCAUUCAUUGAUAAUAUGAUU